GGGGAAAUGUGGGGGAGAAAGGGUUAAAAAUGGAGUAAAUAGGGUUUUGGGGUUACUGGUUUGUAUUGGUUUGUACUGGUUUAUACUGGUUUGUACUGGGAGGGACUGGGAGGGGGGAAAGGGAGAAAAAACUAGGGGAAAAUGGCGAAAAUUGGGCGAAAAACGGACGAAAAAUGGGGGAAAUGUGGCGGAGAAAGUGUUAAAAAUGGGGUAAAGAGGGAUUUGGUUUUACUGGUUUAUACUGGUUUUUACUGGUUUAUACUGGGAGGGACUGGGAGGGGGAUAGGGGUGAAAAAUGGAGGGGAAACGGUAAAAAUUGGGCAGAAAAUGGGGGAAAUUUGGGUUCGAAAGGGAUAAAAAUGGAUUUAAAGGGGGGUUGGGAUUACUGGUUUGUACUGGUUUGUACUGGUUUGUACUGGUUUAUACUGGGAGGGACUGGGAGGGAUUUGGGGGCACUGGGAGUGGGUUUAGGGGGGUUUUGAGCCACUGAAAUGGUCAAAAACGGGGAAAAUUGGGAAAAAUUGAUGGUUUAUGGUGGUUUAUCCUGGUUUGUACUGGUCCGUACUGGUCCAUACUGGUUUAUACUGGUUUGUACUGGUUUAUACUGGGAGGGAUUGGGAGGCACUGGGAGGGGAUUUAGGGGGGUUUUGAGGCGCUGAAAUGGUCAAAAACGGGGGAAAAUUGGGAAAAAUGGAUGGUUUAUGGUGGUUUAUCCUGGUCUGUACUGGUCCAUACUGGUCCGUACUGGUCCAUACUGGUUUGUACUGGUUUGUACUGGCGCAGGAACUUCCACGUGUGGAACGACUGCUGGAUGAAGCGGCCGGACCUGCCCGAGGGCUACGACGGCUGGCAGGUGGUGGAUGCCACGCCCCAGGAGACCAGCAGCGGUGCGGGCAUGCUGGGCAUACUGGGCAUACUGGGGAUACUGGUUUAUACUGGUUUGGACUGGGGUAUACUGGUUUGUACUGGGGAUACUGGGGAUACUGGUUUAUACUGGGUUAUACUGGGUUAUACUGGGGAUACUGGGGAUACUGGGGAUACUGGGGUAUACUGGGGUAUACUGGGGAUACUGGGGAUACUGGGGAUACUGGGGAUACUGGUUAUACUGGGCAUACUGGGCAU
rnacentral:lncRNA from 1 species